rnacentral:rRNA from 1 species
GACGAACGCUGUCGGCGUGCUUAACACAUGCAAGUCGAACGGAAAGGCCCUGCUUUUGUGGGGUGCUCGAGUGGCGAACGGGUGAGUAACACGUGAGUAACCUGCCCUUGACUUUGGGAUAACUUCAGGAAACUGGGGCUAAUACCGGAUAGGAGCUCCUGCUGCAUGGUGGGGGUUGGAAAGUUUCGGCGGUUGGGGAUGGACUCGCGGCUUAUCAGCUUGUUGGUGGGGUAGUGGCUUACCAAGGCUUUGACGGGUAGCCGGCCUGAGAGGGUGACCGGCCACAUUGGGACUGAGAUACGGCCCAGACUCCUACGGGAGGCAGCAGUGGGGAAUAUUGCACAAUGGGCGGAAGCCUGAUGCAGCAACGCCGCGUGCGGGAUGACGGCCUUCGGGUUGUAAACCGCUUUCGCCUGUGACGAAGCGUGAGUGACGGUAAUGGGUAAAGAAGCACCGGCUAACUACGUGCCAGCAGCCGCGGUGAUACGUAGGGUGCGAGCGUUGUCCGGAUUUAUUGGGCGUAAAGGGCUCGUAGGUGGUUGAUCGCGUCGGAAGUGUAAUCUUGGGGCUUAACCCUGAGCGUGCUUUCGAUACGGGUUGACUUGAGGAAGGUAGGGGAGAAUGGAAUUCCUGGUGGAGCGGUGGAAUGCGCAGAUAUCAGGUGGAACACCAGUGGCGAAGGCGGUUCUCUGGGCCUUUCCUGACGCUGAGGAGCGAAAGCGUGGGGAGCGAACAGGCUUAGAUACCCUGGUAGUCCACGCUGUAAACGGUGGGUACUAGGUGUGGGGUCCAUUCCACGGGUUCCGUGCCGUAGCUAACGCUUUAAGUACCCCGCCUGGGGAGUACGGCCGCAAGGCUAAAACUCAAAGGAAUUGACGGGGCCCCGCACAAGCGGCGGAGCAUGCGGAUUAAUUCGAUGCAACGCGUAGAACCUUACCUGGGUUUGACAGGGAUCGGGAGUGCUCAGAGAUGGGUGUGCCUCUUUUGGGGUCGGUUCACAGGUGGUGCAUGCCUGUCGUCAGCUCGUGUCGUGAGAUGUUGGGUUAAGUCCCGCAACGAGCGCAACCCUUGUUCACUGUUGCCAGCACGUUAUGGUGGGGACUCAGUGGAGACCGCCGGGGUCAACUCGGAGGAAGGUGGGGAUGACGUCAAGUCAUCAUGCCCCUUAUGUCCAGGGCUUCACGCAUGCUACAAUGGCUGGUACAGAGAGUGGCGAGCCUGUGAGGGUGAGCGAAUCUCGGAAAGCCGGUCUCAGUUCGGAUUGGGGUCUGCAACUCGACCUCAUGAAGUCGGAGUCGCUAGUAAUCGCAGAUCAGCAACGCUGCGGUGAAUACGUUCCCGGGGCU